rnacentral:tRNA from 1 species
UCGGGGUUUCCCUCCUAGGAUGACCAAAGGCGCUCGGUUCAGGGCCGAGUGGGCGUAGGCCCGCGCGGGUUCAAAUCCCGCCCCCCGCACCA